GUAACCUCUCACUUGGUUACCUUCAGCUGCAAUCGUAGCUUCUGUUAAUAAAACAUUUGAAUUAUCAGAGGUGGCACUAAUAACUAACAAGUAAUCUCUAUAUGCUCUAUCGUAAUCAUAGCAGCAAUAAAGUUGUGUGUCUUCUGGCUGAAGGUGAGUAUCUUGUGCUUGGCUGAGGGGAAAAUCUCUUUUGUGUUCUGCCUGCAACUCUUUGUACAAAGAUUCUUUCAGGUCGCAGUGAGGGGGACCAUUCAAGCACCCUGAGCCUGUUGGAGAAAAGGUAGGCUCUAAGUGGAAUCAUACAUCAAAUAUGCAAACUAAAUAUUCCAAAGAGCUUGUAUUGAGCAACAUUGGUUAUUCAAUCCCUGUUUCAGAAGAGCUGCAAACUCGAAAGCCUAAUGCAGUCACUCUGCGUGCUUCUACCUGGAGGGACUUCUCUUGUCGGGACACCACUGCAGGGGAGGCCCUUUCCUGUGCCAUCACCACACAAUAAGUUCUGUCCAAGAGCCCACCACACUCAGGGGAAGCCAGCUCUUCCUGCAGAAGUCAGACCAGCAGAAGGAACUUCCAGGCCCAUGAAUUCACACUUCAGAGGGACAAACAAAAAGAAAGGAGAAAUGGAUAUGGAAAUGACCGGCAGAAUCCGAGACCAGGGAGAAGAGUCGGUGGAAGAAGAUUGGAAGAAAUUUAAAGACUAUUUACAGAAAC